UUUGUAUAAUGGGUCAGCGACUUAUAUUCAGUGGCAAGGUUAACCAUCUAGGGGAGCCGUAGGGAAACCGAGUCUUAACUGGGCGUUCAGUCUCUGGAUAUAGACCCGAAACCAGGUGAUCUAGCCAUGGGCAGGUUGAAGGUUGAGUAACAUCAACUGGAGGACCGAACCGACUAAUGUUGAAAAAUUAGCGGAUGACUUGUGGCUAGGGGUGAAAGGCCAAUCAAACCUGGAGAUAGCUGGUUCUCCCCGAAAGCUAUUUAGGUAGCGCCUCGGACGAAUACUACUGGGGGUAGAGCACUGUUAAGGCUAGGGGGUCAUCCCGACUUACCAACCCUUUGCAAACUCCGAAUACCAGUAAGUACUAUCCGGGAGACACACGGCGGGUGCUAACGUCCGUCGUGGAGAGGGAAACAACCCAGACCGCCAGCUAAGGUCCCAAAUUACUACUAAGUGGGAAACGAUGUGGGAAGGCUCAGACAGCCAGGAUGUUGGCUUAGAAGCAGCCAUCAUUUAAAGAAAGCGUAAUAGCUCACUGGUCGAGUCGGCCUGCGCGGAAGAUGUAACGGGGCUAAGUAGUAAACCGAAGCUGCG
rnacentral:rRNA from 1 species